rnacentral:rRNA from 1 species
UACGAAGGGUCCAAGCGUUAUCCGGAUUUAUUGGGUUUAAAGGGUGCGUAGGCGGCUUAUUAAGUCAGUGGUGAAAGCCUGUAGCUCAACUACAGAACUGCCAUUGAUACUGAUGAGCUUGAAUAUACUUGAGGUUGGCGGAAUGUGUCAUGUAGCGGUGAAAUGCUUAGAUAUGACACAGAACACCGAUUGCGAAGGCAGCUAGCUAAAGUACAAUUGACGCCGAUGCACGAAAGCGUGGGGAGCAAACAGG